CCAAAGGCUCUUCUAGUAGCAGAGCCAACUCACAUUCUCAAAGGAAAGAAA
rfam:Picea glauca, whole genome shotgun sequence.